GCUGCGGUAGCUCAGAAGGUAGAGCGUCUGGUUGAAAGCCAGAGCGUCGCUGGUUCAAUUCCAGCCCACAGCACCA
rnacentral:tRNA from 1 species